AUAUCAAUAAGCGGAGGAAAAGAAACCAACAGGGAUUGCCUUAGUAACGGCGAGUGAAGCGGCAACAGCUCAAAUUUGAAAUCUGGCUCUUUCAGGGUCCGAGUUGUAAUUUGUAGAAGAUGCUUCGGGUGUGGUACCGGUCUAAGUUCCUUGGAACAGGACGUCAUAGAGGGUGAGAAUCCCGUAUGUGACUGGUCACCUUCGCUCAUGUGAAGCUCUUUCGACGAGUCGAGUUGUUUGGGAAUGCAGCUCAAAAUGGGUGGUAAAUUUCAUCUAAAGCUAAAUAUUGGCCAGAGACCGAUAGCGCACAAGUAGAGUGAUCGAAAGAUGAAAAGCACUUUGGAAAGAGAGUUAAACAGUACGUGAAAUUGUUGAAAGGGAAGCGCUUGCAACCAGACUUGCACGUAGUUAAUCAUCCGGGGUUCUCCCCGGUGCACUUGGCUACGUUCAGGCCAGCAUCGGUUUCGGUGGUUGGAUAAAGGCCUAGGGAAUGUGGCUCUCUUCGGGGAGUGUUAUAGCCCUAGGUGCAAUGCAGCCCACUGGGACCGAGGACCGCGCUUCGGCUAGGAUGCUGGCGUAAUGGUUGUAAGCGA
rnacentral:rRNA from 1 species